ensembl:lncRNA
GUUCAUCUAAAGUCUCCUUCUUCUUAUAUACAUCUCAACAUUAUCUGGGAUACCCGACACUGGGCCCCGCCACGCCCGCGGCUUCAUCCAUAAGACCCUGAGAGAGCUACGCGCUAAUCUUGCACACCUUCCAAGAAAAACACAUUCCUGAACGCUCCUUUCAUGUUUGUCACUUUAUGGAGGACUUUCUCCCUGCAGCACUGGCAGGCAGCCAGCUCUCCCAACAAAACAGCCGAGCCACGUGCAGCUUCGCCUGGGAAGGGAAGUAACUUACGUAUCAUGCCUUCUACGAGUCGAGCACAGAAACGCGAAUAUUCUGGGGAGCAGCAUGCCGUGCAGUUCCCUGCUGUCCGCUCUGUGACCCCUCUGAAGUUACACCGAUUUCCAUGAAGCCUUGAAAAGGGAGGGGAGCUGCAAGCCGAUCCACGCUCGCCACCAUCAACAAGGCGUAGAUCCGAACUCCCUCUGACGUCUUGA